rnacentral:rRNA from 1 species
GCAGGCGCGAAACCUUUACACUGCACGACAGUGCGAUAGGGGGAUCCCAAGUGCACAGGCAUAGCGCCUGUGCUUUUCGGUACCCUAAGGCGGUACCAGAAUAAGGGCUGGGCAAGACCGGUGCCAGCCGCCGCGGUAAUACCGGCAGCCCAAGUGAUGGCCGAUCUUAUUGGGCCUAAAGCGUCCGUAGCUGGCCGUACAAGUCCAUCGGGAAAUCCACCUGCUCAACAGGUGGGCGCCCGGUAGAAACUGUGCGGCUUGGGACCGGAAGGCGCGACGGGUACGUCCGGGGUAGGAGUGAAAUCCCGUAAUCCUGGACGGACCGCCGAUGGCGAAAGCACGUCGCGAGAACGGAUCCGACAGUGAGGGACGAAGGCCAGGGUCUCGAACCGGAUUAGAUACCCGGGUAGUCCUGGCCGUAAACAAUGUCUGCUAGGUGUGGCUCCCACUACGAGUGGGUGCUGUGCCGUAGGGAAGCCGCUAAGCAGACCGCCUGGGAAGUACGUCCGCAAGGAUGAGACUUAAAGGGAUUGGCGGGGGAGCACUACAACCGGAGGAGCCUGCGGUUUAAUUGGAGUCAACGCCGG